UGCGCAGGCGGUUUGAUAAGCCAGAUGUGAAAUCCCCGAGCUCAACUUGGGAACUGCGUUUGGAACUGUCAGACUAGAGUGCGUCAGAGGGGGGUGGAAUUCCGCGUGUAGCAGUGAAAUGCGUAGAGAUGUGGAGGAAUACCGAUGGCGAAGGCAGCCCCCUGGGACAAUACUGACGCUCAGGCACGAAAGCGUGGGGAGCAAACAGGAUUAGAUACCCGCGUA
rnacentral:rRNA from 1 species